rnacentral:rRNA from 1 species
UACGUAGGGGGCGAGCGUUGUCUGGAUUUAUUGGGCGUAAAGAGCGUGUAGGCGGUUCGGUAAGUCUGUCGUGAAAUCCUGAGGCUCAACCUCGGGCGUGCGAUGGAUACUGCCGGGCUAGAGGGUGGUAGAGGCGAGUGGAAUUCCCGGUGUAGCGGUGAAAUGCGCAGAUAUCGGGAGGAACACCAGUAGCGAAGGCGGCUCGCUGGGCCACACCUGACGCUGAGACGCGAAAGCUAGGGGGAGCGAACAGG